GAAACUCCCUCGGCCAGCAGCAUGUUAUCCAGACGCAUGAUCUGGGGGUCGGGUGGAUCCUCCUCCUGCACGCCACGGAUGCUCAACACUGCGGGACGAGAGGGCGUGGCUCUGGUCAGCGUGAUGGGGUCGGGUCUCGACAGUUACGAGGGAAUCGACGCUUGAACGGUUUGUCGCUCCGCCCCUCGGGACCUACGG